AUUGAACGCUGGCGGCAGGCCUAACACAUGCAAGUCGAACGAGUGGCGGACGGGUGAGUAAUGUCUGGGAACCUGCCUGAUGGAGGGGGAUAACUACUGGAAACGGUAGCUAAUACCGCAUACCAUCGGAUGUGCCCCGAUGGGAUUAGCUAGUAGGUGGGGUAAAGGCUCACCUAGGCGACGAUCCCUAGCUGGUCUGAGAGGAUGACCAGCCACACUGGAACUGAGACACGGUCCAGAAUCCUACGGGAGGCAGCAGUGGGGAAUAUGGCACAAUGGGCGCAAGCCUGAUGCAGCCAUGCCGCGUGUAUGAAGAAGGCCUUCGGGUUGUAAAGUACUUUCAGCGGGGAGGCGUUACCCACAGAAGAAGCACCGGCUAACUCCGUGCCAGCAGCCGCGGUAAUUA
rnacentral:rRNA from 1 species